rnacentral:rRNA from 1 species
UGGGGAAUAUUGGACAAUGGGGGAAACCCUGAUCCAGCCAUGCCGCGUGAGUGAAGAAGGCCCUAGGGUUGUAAAACUCUUUCAGUCGUGAAGAUGAUGACGGUAACGACAGAAGAAGCCCCGGCUAACUCCGUGCCAGCAGCCGCGGUAAUACGGAGGGGGCUAGCGUUGUUCGGAAUUACUGGGCGUAAAGCGCACGUAGGCGGCGUAUCAAGUUAGGGGUGAAAGGCCUGGGCUCAACCUAGGAACUGCCUUUAAGACUGAUAUGCUUGAGUCCGAGAGAGGAUAGCGGAAUUCCCAGUGUAGAGGUGAAAUUCGUAGAUAUUGGGAAGAACACCGGUUGCGAAGGCGGCUAUCUGGCUCGGUACUGACGCUGAGGUGCGAAAGCGUGGGGAGCAAACAGGAUUAGAUACCCCUGUAGUCC